rnacentral:rRNA from 1 species
AGACCCGAAACCCGGUGAUCUAGCCAUGGGCAGGUUGAAGGUUGGGUAACACUAACUGGAGGACCGAACCGACUAAUGUUGAAAAAUUAGCGGAUGACCUGUGGCUGGGGGUGAAAGGCCAAUCAAACCGGGAGAUAGCUGGUUCUCCCCGAAAGCUAUUUAGGUAGCGCCUCGUGAAUUCAUCUCCGGGGGUAGAGCACUGUUUCGGCUAGGGGGCCAUCCCGGCUUACCAACCCGAUGCAAACUGCGAAUACCGGAGAAUGUUAUCACGGGAGACACACGGCGGGUGCUAACGUCCGUCGUGAAGAGGGAAACAACCCAGACCGCCAGCUAAGGUCCCAAAGUCAUGGUUAAGUGGGAAACGAUGUGGGAAGGCCCAGACAGCCAGGAUGUUGGCUUAGAAGCAGCCAUCAUUUAAAGAAAGCGUAAUAGCUCACUGGUCGAGUCGGCCUGCGCGGAAGAUGUAACGGGGCUAAACCAUGCACCGAAGCUGCGGCAGCGAACGUAUCACUUAAAGCGAUUCAGCGGGUUACGAUUGACGGAGCGAAGCGACGUCAAAGCGUAUACAAAGUCGAGUCGGUUUAAGGAUACGUUCGUUGGGUAGGGGAGCGUUCUGUAAGCCUGUGAAGGUGUGCUGUGAGGCAUGCUGGAGGUAUCAGAAGUGCGAAUGCUGACAUAAGUAACGAUAAAGCGGGUGAAAAGCCCGCUCGCCGGAAGACCAAGGGUUCCUGUCCAACGUUAAUCGGGGCAGGGUGAGUCGACCCCUAAGGCGAGGCCGAAAGGCGUAGUCGAUGGGAAACGGGUUAAUAUUCCCGUACUUGGUGUUACUGCGAAGGGGGGACGGAGAAGGCUAUGUUGGCCGGGCGACGGUUGUCCCGGUUUAAGCGUGUAGGUGUGUGUUCCAGGUAAAUCCGGUUCACUUUAACACUGAGGCGUGA